rnacentral:rRNA from 1 species
GAUGAACGCUGGCGGCGUGCCUAAUACAUGCAAGUCGAGCGAACGGACGAGAAGCUUGCUUCUCUGAUGUUAGCGGCGGACGGGUGAGUAACACGUGGAGAACCUACCUAUAAGACUGGGAUAACUUCGGGAAACCGGAGCUAAUACCGGAUAAUAUCUUGAACCGCAUGGUUCAAAAGUGAAAGACGGUCUUGCUGUCACUUAUAGAUGGAUCCGCUCUGCAUUAGCUAGUUGGUAAGGUAACGGCUUACCAAGGCAACGAUGCAUAGCCGACCUGAGAGGGUGAUCGGCCACACUGGAACUGAGACACGGUCCAGACUCCUACGGGAGGCAGCAGUAGGGAAUCUUCCGCAAUGGGCGAAAGCCUGACGGAGCAACGCCGCGUGAGUGAUGAAGGUCUUCGGAUCGUAAAACUCUGUUAUUAGGGAAGAACAUAUGUGUAAGUAACUGUGCACAUCUUGACGGUACCUAAUCAGAAAGCCACGGCUAACUACGUG